rnacentral:rRNA from 1 species
GAUGAACGCUGGCGGCGUGCCUAAUACAUGCAAGUCGAGCGAACAGACGCGGCGCUUGCUCCUCUGUCGUUAGCGGCGCACGGGUGAGUAACACGUGGAUAACCUCCCUAUCAGACUGAUAUAACUUCGGGAAACCGGCGCUAAUACCGGAUAAUCUAUUGAACCGCAUGGUUCGAUAGUGAAAGACGGUUUUGCUGUCACUUAUCGAUGCAUCCGAGCCGCAUUAGCUAGUUGGUAAGGUAAAGGCUUACCAAGGCAACGAGGCGUAGCCGACCUGUGAGGGUGAUCGGCGACCCGGGAACGUAGACACGCUCCAGACUACUACGGGAGGCAGCAGUAGGGAACCGUCCGCAAUGGUCGAAAACCUGACGGAGCAACGCCGCGUGAGUGAUGAAAGUCCUCGGAUCGUAAAACUCUGUUACUAGGUAUGAACAAAUUUGUAAGUAACUAUGCACGGCUUGACGGUACCUAAUCAGAAAGCCACGGCUAACUACGUG